rnacentral:rRNA from 1 species
GACGAACGCUGGCGGCGUGCUUAACACAUGCAAGUCGAACGAAGAGCGAUGGAAGCUUGCUUCUAUCAAUCUUAGUGGCGAACGGGUGAGUAACGCGUAAUCAACCUGCCCUUCAGAGGGGGACAACAGUUGGAAACGACUGCUAAUACCGCAUACGAUCUAAUCUCGGCAUCGAGGAUAGAUGAAAGGUGGCCUCUACAUGUAAGCUAUCACUGAAGGAGGGGAUUGCGUCUGAUUAGCUAGUUGGAGGGGUAACGGCCCACCAAGGCGAUGAUCAGUAGCCGGUCUGAGAGGAUGAACGGCCACAUUGGGACUGAGACACGGCCCAGACUCCUACGGGAGGCAGCAGUGGGGAAUCUUCCGCAAUAGACGAAAGUCUGACGGAGCAACGCCGCGUGAGGGAUGACGGCCUUCGGGUUGUAAAGCUCUGUUAAUCGGGACGAAAGGCCUUCUUGCGAAUAGUGAGAAGGAUUGACGGUACCGGAAUAGAAAGCCACGGCUAACUACGUG